CAUACGUAUAGUUCAAUCGCCAUGGAGUCAAAGUCUAUUACAGUCUUUCGGUAUGCGAUUGACUCCAUGGGAAGGCUAUCUGGGUUAAGUCCAUUCGUGCGUUUAAAACUCCCGAACGGCCGGUGUUCGUAUACUUCUGUCGAUUGAGAAGGGAGGUCGGCGGCUUCAGCGGUGUUCGGCAGAAAAAGUGUCCGUUUUCAGUUCCAUGAAAUCAAUGCCGAACACCGCUGGUCUUUCGCAUGGUUUAAAAUGGCCGCCGCCUCGUGGUCGACAUACGAACGACGAC